rnacentral:rRNA from 1 species
AGAGUUUGAUCAUGGCUCAGAACGAACGCUGGCGGCAGGCUUAACACAUGCAAGUCGAACGCACCUUUCGGGGUGAGUGGCAGACGGGUGAGUAACGCGUGGGAACGUGCCCUUCAGUUCGGAAUAACCCAGGGAAACUUGGGCUAAUACCGGAUACGUGCGAGAGCAGAAAGAUUUAUCGCUGAAGGAUCGGCCCGCGUCUGAUUAGCUAGUUGGUGGGGUAAUGGCCCACCAAGGCGACGAUCAGUAGCUGGUCUGAGAGGAUGAUCAGCCACAUUGGGACUGAGACACGGCCCAAACUCCUACGGGAGGCAGC